UGGCAACUAGAACUGCCCUUCUAAUUUGACGUAUGGAAAAUCAUGAGCGAUUAGUAGCAACUAGAACUACUCUUCUAACAAUUUGACAAACAAGCUCUGCUGGCCUUGUGUGGAUUACUUAUGGCUAGCUUGGAUGAUAUUCCAACAUGUAAGUUUUCUCAUCAUGUUUUCCUGCUGAUGCUAUUAGUAUCAUGCCCCUUCUUUCACUCGUCUCAUGCUGCCAGAGAUACUAUAUCGCAAAGACAAUCUAUUACAAUUACGGAAACUGUAGUAUCAGCUGAUGCAGAAUUUGAAGUUGGAUUCCUUCGUCCUGGAAGAAAUUCCACAAAUCAAUACGUGGGAAUAUGGUUCAAAAAGGUAUCACUGCAAACUAUCACAUGGGUAGCAAACCGAGAUUACCCAAUCACUAGUUCUUCUGCAGUUCUCACUAUUAGUAAUGAUGGGAACCUCGUGAUUAUGGAUGGUAGGUUGUCAUACAUGGUAUCCAAUUUGCCAUCAUAUGCCAAUGCAAGUGCUACGCUAUUGGACUCCGGAAACCUUGUUUUAAGGGAUGAAAACUCAAAAAUCUCGUGGCAGGGCUUUGAUUUUCCUUCGCAUACCCUUUUACCUGGAAUGAAGCUUUUGUAUGAGAGAAAAAGACCAGGAAAGACUUGGUCGUUGUAGCUUGGAGAAAUGCUGAAGACCCUAGUCCUGGAGUUUUUUCAAUGGAGCUCGAUCCUAAGGGAAUAAGUCAGCUUUUAAUCAUGCAGGAGCCUGACACGUUGUAUUGGACAAGCGGGCCUUGGGAUGGGCACUCGUUCAGCUUUGUUCCUGAAAUGGGAUCUAAUUAUAUAUUAAAUUUUAGCUAUACUUACAAUCAGGAAGAGACUUAUUUUACAUAUAAUCGGCAGUGUAAUUCCACUAGUAGGCUUGUAAUGGAUCUAUCGGGGCAGAUACAGCAACUGUAUUGGCUGGAAUCCACCCAGCAGUGGAAUUUAUUAUGGUCAGAACCAAGAACCCAAUGUGAAGUUUAUGCUUUUUGUGGGGCUUUUGGGUGCUGCAACCAGCAAACGUUGCCAUUUUGUUCAUGCAUUCAGGGAUUUGAACCCCGAUCUUCUGGACAUUGGGAACUGAGUGAUUACACUGCAGGAUGUGCAAGGAAAACCCCUUUGCAAUGUGAGAACAAUAACCAGACUACGGGUGAGCCAGAUGAGUUUGUUAUGUUGUCUAAUGUACAACUACCAGUGAAUCCAAUAAGUUUUGAAAGUAGGAUCAUUGAAGAGUGCAAAUCAGCUUGCUUGAGUAACUGUUCCCGUACUGGUUGUGCUUUCAAUGAUUAUAAUUGUUCAAUAUGGAUUGGAGAUCUUAUUAAUCUGCAACAUCUUACUGAUGAUGACCAUAGUGCAAGAGAUUUUUAUGUCAAAGUUGCUACUCCUAUGCAAAGCCCUAAAAGGAAUAAGCGAAAGCUGUGGAUUAUUGUAGUACUGGCCAUUUCUCUGACAGCCAUUUCUUCAGCAGCCUUCAUAUGGUGGAUGUGGGUGUGAGAAAACUCAAAAGAAAAGGAGAGGACUUGAUAUCGUUUGAUUUCAACAAGAGGUCUACACAACAAGGAUUAGUCAACAAGAAAGGGGCUAAGAAAGGUAGAAAUAAGGAAAAGGAGCUUCCUCUCUUUAGCUUUUCUAGUGUAUCUGCUGCUACUAAUAACUUCGCAGCCUUGAAUAAACUUGGAGAGGGUGGUUUUGAACCUGUUUACAAAGGAUCCUUGCUUAAGGGACAGUUAGUAGCAGUAAAAAGACUCUCAAGAAAAUCUAGACAAGGAUGGGAGAAGCUAAAAAAUGAGGUUGUGCUUAUAUAGCCAAACUCCAACACAAGAAUCUUGUGAAACUUCUUGGAUGCUGCAUUGAAGGAGAUGAAAAGAUUUUGAUCUAUGAGUAUUUGCCCAAUAAAAGCUUAGAUAAUUUCCUUUUUGAUCCAAGUGCACAUGGGGUGAUAGACUGGACAACUUGCAUUCACAUCAUUGAAGGGAUUGUUCAAGGGCUUCUUUACCUACAUCAGUAUUCCAAGUUACGAAUUAUUCACAGAGAUUUGAAGGCUAGCAACAUCUUGUUGGAUAAAAACAUGAAUCCAAAAAUAUCAGAUUUUGGAAUGGCAAUAAUUUUUGGUGGGAAUGGGUCACAAGUAACCAACCGAAUAGUAGGGACUUAGGAAGUAUAAUCCAUAAGUACUUAUGCUCUAUAGCAAAUAUCAGUAAUAUACAAAUUAUCAACCAUGAAGCUACUGAAUAGUUUGUUUUACAAUGAAAUAUAGUGGUUAUAUGUCCCCAGAAUAUGCUUUGGAAGGCC